rnacentral:rRNA from 1 species
CCUACGGGAGGCUGCAGUGAGGAAUAUUGGUCAAUGGACGAGCGUCUGAACCAGCCAAGUAGCGUGAAGGAUGACUGCCCUAUGGGUUGUAAACUUCUUUUAUAUGGGAAUAAAACGAUCCACGUGUGGGAUUUUGUAUGUACCAUGUGAAUAAGGAUCGGCUAACUCCGUGCCAGCAGCCGCGGUAAUACGGAGGAUCCGAGCGUUAUCCGGAUUUAUUGGGUUUAAAGGGAGCGUAGGUGGAAUGUUAAGUCAGUUGUGAAAGUUUGCGGCUCAACCGUAAAAUUGCAGUUGAAACUGGCAGUCUUGAGUACAGUAGAGGUAGGCGGAAUUCGUGAUGUAGCGGUGAAAUGCUUAGAUAUCACGAAGAACUCCGAUUGCGAAGGCAGUUCACUGGACUGCAACUGACACUGAGGCUCGAAAGUGUGGGUAUCAAACAGGAUUAGAUACCCGGGUAGUC